rnacentral:lncRNA from 1 species
CAACCAUAGCCGCCAUGAGAAGCUUCCUUAUUCACAGGGGCAGCCCAUAAUGGUUGAACAAGCCAACCAUAGCCGCCAUGAGAAGCUUCCUUAUUCACACGGGCAGCCCAUAAUGGUUGAACAAGCCAACCAUAGCCGCCAUGAGAAGCUUCCUUAUUCACAGGGGCAGCCCAUAAUGGUUGAACAAGCCAACCAUAGCCGCCAUGAGAAGCUUCCUUAUUCACACAGGAAUUUCCACAAA